CGUGUCUAGGAAGUGGAAAAGGAACUAGGAUUCGGAGUAUGUUUGGCUUUGGCUCCGCCCCAGCCUCCUGACGUUCAAGUCAUGUUUUCUGAGGAUCUCUGGAGCUGCCAUGUUGAGAACAGCAUGAAGGGGCCAACAGCAUAAGCUGGGAGAGACAGGAGGCUACUGCAGUAAUCCAGGCUAGAGGUGAUGGUGGCUUGGACCAGAAGGGGGUCGGAUUCUGGAUGUAUUCUGAAGGCAGAGUCGGCUGCAUUUACUGAUUGGAUAAGUGUGAGAGCAGAGCACAAGAAUACUGCUUUGUCAUCAGAAUAUCGCCAGCUUGAACAAGGAUGACUAUUCCUCCUUUGCCAGGACAGCCAGCUUGAAGACCUGCCCCACCUUGCUGGGCUCCCUGUCACAGUCUAAACAAAGAAAGGCCAUAUGAGGACACAGCAAGGAGGUGGUGGUCGCCUGCAAGCCAGGAAGAGAGCUCUCACCAGAAACUGACCAUGCUGGCACCCUGACCUUGGACUUAACCAGCCAACAAAACUGACCUUGAAGCCUUCUGGUUAUGGUGACCUGAAGAAGUGGGCAAAUCCUCUUGGCCAAAAGCAGGUGUGACACUGGACAGAUUGAUCGGAUAAGCCAUUUCAGGUCCCAGCUGCAUGAUCCAUGUUUCAGAUUCCCCUUUCUUCUUCCUCCUUGCCUUCCCCCUUCUCUCUCCCUCUAACCGAACCCCUUCCUUUGACAAGUAUUUAUUGAGAGCCAGGCCAACCUGGAUGGGAAAACCAUUAAAACAUGAUCACACAAGUAAAUGUAUUAUGAACAACUGUGAUAACAGCUACAAAGGAAAACUACGUCUGAUACCCUUGAGGACCCCAGUCAAUCUCCUACUUCACAAAGAACCUGUGUUCAAGUGACAUCCUGACUUCUCGGGGAUGACUUGUUGGGAAGCCGAAGUUCUCGGGGGACGUCUGUCAGUGAACUUCGGAGAACGCGUGUCGUGGGAUGUUUAGGACAGUGUCAGAGAGGAUUCUAGAAGUGGAGCUAUGCCUGGCAUACAGGCGAGUGCUCAGACAAGAACUGAUGAACGUGGAACAAAUUGCACCCCCUGUGUAGCUGCCGCUCUCAUGACAUCCUGAACUUUUCCUAUGAUGCAUGGAUCAUACAGUUCUUGGGGGAUUUGUCUCUUGUUCUGCUCCCCAGGGGUUGCAAGCUCAAGGAGGGAAGGACCACAUCCCACGUUCAGUGCCCUGUCCCUGGUGUCUUGCACAGUCCCUGGCACCUGAGGUGACCAGAAAACAUUUAGUGGUGGCUUUCUACCCAGGAUCACACUGAAUUGACACGCCAGCCUCAUGAGGCACAGAUACCUACGCCCUUUCUACGUGUCGGGGAGACCGAGGCUCAGAGAGAUGAAAUAACUGUCCCACCAGGCAUCGCAGCUUAGAAGAGGUGGAGGCAGCCUUUGAACGUGGAACUCUACUACCUCUGAAUGCAGACAUGACCUGAGAAGGAGAAUUUUGACUUCUGCUGCUCGUUCUCUCUCUCUUCUUAGUUCCUUUUACUGAGUCUCUUAACCUCACUCAAUCCUCUUAUCUGCAAUCGGCUUCCAGAGAGGAUUCAGAUCACCUUGUCUCGCAGGCAGCUGCAUCAAGAUCCCCGCAGUCCCUGUAACUGGUGGUUAUACGGGUACUUGAAAUAGCCUCCCUCUGCUGCCUGCUCUCUCUCCGUCUGCUUGUUCUGGGCUCUGCAGAAGUGCUCAGCAGUGCCGGUGCCCAGUUCCUGCAGGGCUGGAUUCUGCCGUACAUGCUGUAAAAAGGCGAGGGCUCUGCCCCAGGCUUUCCUGUUCCCUGCUGAUCACCCGCCUCCUCUCCUCCAGGAGCUUAGCCUUGGGUGGCAAAUCCCGGCCUCCCUUCCUGCGCUGGAUUUGAGGCUAAUGGCAUUUCCUCUGCCGGCUUUGGAGGUAUGCCCGGCGGCCCCCAUGCUGCUCUCUGCAGCCUGCCUGCCCUGCCCUCACUGCAACAGACGGAGAAAAUAAAUGAAAAUGAGGUGAGUGGAGAGGAAACCUAGUGAGCGGGAGAGGGACUGGAAUCCAAGACGGAGGCUUGAGCUAAAUGGAGCUGUGGGAUCUUUAAGCCACAAAGAAGACCAACAGCAAAGCAAAGGGUAACAGACCAGGGGCCAUCUUUGAAAUCCAAGAUUUUAUCUAAAGGCGGUGGCGGCUGUGGGUUCUGAAGGAGUGAAACGGAGCAGGACCCUGUGGGGCUCCUGGGAAAUAGGCUUCACUCAGCCUCCAUGACCUUCCCUGAGUUCCAACUAGCAGGUUCAAACCUUGUAAUCAGGGAAGGGAGGGGAUGCAGAGACAAGGGAGGAACAGUCAAGAAACAAUAGUACAGCCUUGGGGCAGGGUCCUGGUUCCCCCUCAGGGAUACACACAACAACACCUUUGAGCUGUUUUGCAGAUACUGAAACCCUCACCAGGUGGGAGAAGUUAACUGUGUGCUGCCCACAAGCACGCAGACCCCAGACUGGGUGGAACCGGAAGGUUGAUGAUGCCGACUCCCACUUACCUCCCCACCAACCAAUCAGAAGAGUGUCCACGAGCUGAUCACGCCCUCUUUGAACCAUUACUGUAAAACUUCUCACUACCCCCUCCAGGUCCUGACACACAGUUUUGAGGGCAUUAGCCCUCUGUGGCCCCCUUUUCCUGGCAAAGCUGUUAGGGGAAGAACACUGACUGAAACCACCCGCCCUGGCCAGGCACCACAGUAACCACUUGCAUGAGUUAUCUUACAAUAGGAGGUCCUGGUAAGGAACAUGGAACUAACAAGCCACCACCAACCGGAAGAAUUCGGGAAAAGUCAAAAGGAGACACCAGUCCACAUGUACUACCAACCUCCCAGCAUCCUCCUCGCUGGACUCCAUCUUGGGUGAGCAAUGCACGUGCCACCAGAAAGGACCCUCAAUCAGAAUGGUUGGCCAGAGACAACCCGUAAACUCACCCGAUCACCAUAAAACCCGAGACUGUGAGCCACGUGGCAGAGCCGUCCUCCUGGCAUCCCUCACCCUCCUGCUCUACCCCCAGGCGCCCCUUCCCAAUAAAGUC